GACGAACGCUGGCGGCGUGCUUAACACAUGCAAGUCGAACGCUGAAGCCCAGCUUGCUGGGUGGAUGAGUGGCGAACGGGUGAGUAACACGUGAGUAACCUGCCCUCUUCUUUGGGAUAACGGUCUGAAAGGGCUGCUAAUACUGAAUAUUCACAUGUCUUCGCAUGGGGGUGUGUGGAAAGAGAUGCUUUUGGGUGUUUUUGGUGGGGGAUGGGCUCGCGGCCUAUCAGCUUGUUGGUGGGGUAGUGGCCUACCAAGGCUUUGACGGGUAACCGGCCUGAGAGGGUGACCGGUCACAUUGGGACUGAGAUACGGCCCAGACUCCUACGGGAGGCAGCAGUGGGGAAUUUUGCACAAUGGACGCAAGUCUGAUGCAGCGACGCCGCGUGAGGGAUGUAGGCCUUCGGGUUGUGAACCUCUUUCGCUCAUGGUCAAGCCGCAGCUUUGGGUUGUGGUGAGGGUAGUGGGUAAAGAAGCGCCGGCUAACUACGUGCCAGCAGCCGCGGUAAUACGUAGGGCGCGAGCGUUGUCCGGAAUUAUUGGGCGUAAAGGGCUUGUAGGCGGUUGGUCGCGUCUGCCGUGAAAUCCUCUGGCUUAACUGGGGGCGUGCGGUGGGUACGGGCUGGCUUGAGUGCGGUAGGGGAGACUGGAAUUCCUGGUGUAGCGGUGGAAUGCGCAGAUAUCAGGAGGAACACCGGUGGCGAAGGCGGGUCUCUGGGCCGUUACUGACGCUGAGGAGCGAAAGCGUGGGGAGCGAACAGG
rnacentral:rRNA from 1 species